AACGAACGCUGGCGGCAGGCUUAACACAUGCAAGUCGAACGCCCCGCAAGGGGAGUGGCAGACGGGUGAGUAACGCGUGGGAACAUACCCUUUUCUACGGAAUAGCUCUGGGAAACUGGAAUUAAUACCGUAUACGCCCUACGGGGGAAAGAUUUAUCGGGGAAGGAUUGGCCCGCGUUGGAAUAGAUAGUGGGUGGGGUAAAGGCCUAGCAAGGCGACGAUGCAUAGCUGGUAUGAGAGGAUGAUCAGCCACAUUGGGGCGGAGACACGGCCCAAACUCCUACGGGAGGGAGCAGUGGGGAAUAUUGGACAAUGGGCGCAAGCCUGAUCCAGCCAUGCCGCGUGAGUGAUGAAGGCCUUAGGGUUGUAAAGCUCUUUCACCGAUGAAGAUAAUGACGGUAGUCGGAGAAGAAGCCCCGGCUAACUUCGUGCCAGCCGCCGCGGUAAAAC
rnacentral:rRNA from 1 species